CAGGUCGUUGAAUAGCUAAAAAAAAAAUGUAUUAUAGGGGUUUUUUUACAAAUGGCUCUGAAAAAAUUAUUUUAAAAAUAAUCCCGAUAAAUUUAUAAUUAUAAAAAAUGACCGUCCUCCUACUACACAAGCGCCACGCAGGCGUCAAGCAAGUGCCACGUGGGCGGGCUGGGCGUCUGCUUGGCAAGUUAAACAUGGUGAAUUAUUUACCGUGUUCAAAAGAAAAAUGCAUAACGUAUUUUUUUAUUGUUUGAUGUUAACAUAUAUAUAUAUAUAUAUAUAUAUAUAUAUAUAUAUAUAU
rnacentral:lncRNA from 1 species